rnacentral:lncRNA from 1 species
AUCAAGCUCUAAUUUGAUUUAAAAAAUAGUUCAUGAAUCAUCAUGAGCCUUGAUGGUAGAUCCUAAUUACUCAUACAAUGCAAGAGUGAUUAGGUAAGCCUAUUGAAUUAGUAUAUUUUUACCACUAGUGCAUCAAAUCACUUUCAAGUAAACUUCUUAUGUAAUCCAAACUAAUUAAAAGUAUUUCUAACUACUUUAAUGCAAUGUUGCUUUUAAAGUGGUUACAUGAGCUAGUCUUGAUAGUUUAUAUAGUGACCAAUCUCGUUUAGAUUUUGUAACAGUGCCUGUGCAUGUGAUAUCGUCUGCGUACGAGGUACUCACU